CUCGCGUACGCCACCGCUCCGUGCGUACUCCCUCCAUCCAAAAAAACAUGUCCCUCAAAUGGAUAUAUCUAGCAUGAAGUUAGUGCUAGAUACAUCCAUUUGAACAAGCUUGGGACAAGCUUCCCUUUUAGGACGGAGGGAGUAUCUCACAGCCGCGCCCGAUCUCUCCGAUCCCCACGCGAUACUCACGCUUAUGCACCACCCCGGGACACCCUCGUUCUGCUCUUCCGAUUCCCUGCCUCGCCUCGCGGGACAGAGCUCGAUAUCGAGCGUAGCAACCCCGGUGAGCUCCGCCAUCCUAAGCAGCGCCGACGUGAAAUUCUCCCGCCUCGGACCGCACCAAAUCGACCUCCCCAGCAAAACAAAUCUCGCCGGAGCAUACCAUCACCGUUGCAUGUUCAUCCGCCCACCAUCGUCGCUACAGGAUGCACCGGAACUCCCCGAGGACACCAAAGGCCUCCCCAUGAACCUCCUAGUCUUCCAGCAUCUUCACCGAUCUCCUACGGCCAUCGGGAGCAACGCCGUCGCCGAUCAGGGCCAUCGCGUCUCCUCUAUUCCAAUUGCUCGGAGCGUGACGAGUAGAAUUAUCAGGAAUUGUGAGUACGACGAUCUUCAUCAAACUUACAGAUUUUAUACGACGAGUGAGUGAUAUGAUGUAGGGUUACCAUGUCCAUACUCGACAUUUUCCUGUGGUGUUGAUGGACUUCAUGGUGAUUUUAUUUGCAUUUUUGCUGCAUUUUGUGUGUAUGCUAGCUUGUGCUAUGCAGCUAUUGAUCUAGGGACUAGCACAGUGAGCACAAAGACAUCGAAUCUUAUCAGGUUCGGUCAUUACAUAACCCAGUCGGCCCAUUCUCCUCGUGUUCGGCCGACGAGCCUUCAUUCAUCAUCAAGAUGGACUCCAGAGGCCAUCCGCAGGAGGUGUGAUCAAGACAGCCUCUCUCGAAGACUUGAUGUAUAUUCCAAGAUCUCUAUCGCCGCCUAGCACUGUGAGCACAAAGACAUCGAAUCUUAUCAGGUUCGGGUUGUUACAGAUGGUAUUAGAGCCCAUGUUGACUGUAGGUCGUAGCCCUUAGAAUGGACUAGGAAAAGCCAUCGGAAAUUGUUUUAUCACUUCUUGAUCACUUACUAUCAUACUUGUAUUUCUCAUCUACCAUUCAUAUUCUAAACUUCUCACCUUGCCUUAAAGUAGUUGGCCAUCUUAUAGUAACCCCAUUUGGCCCUGUCACUGAGGAUGUAAUGCUUGGGAAGCAAUGCUAUAAUGAGGAGAGAAGGAAUUCAAGAAAGAA